rnacentral:rRNA from 1 species
AGUGAACGCUGGCGGUAGGCCUAACACAUGCAAGUCGAACGGCAGCACAGUAAGAGCUUGCUCUUACGGGUGGCGAGUGGCGGACGGGUGAGGAAUACAUCGGAAUCUACUUUUUCGUGGGGGAUAACGUAGGGAAACUUACGCUAAUACCGCAUACGACCGACGGGUGAAAGCAGGGGAUCUUCGGACCUUGCGCGAUUGAAUGAGCCGAUGUCGGAUUAGCUAGUUGGCGGGGUAAAGGCCCACCAAGGCGACGAUCCGUAGCUGGUCUGAGAGGAUGAUCAGCCACACUGGAACUGAGACACGGUCCAGACUCCUACGGGAGGCAGCAGUGGGGAAUAUUGGACAAUGGGCGCAAGCCUGAUCCAGCCAUACCGCGUGGGUGAAGAAGGCCUUCGGGUUGUAAAGCCCUUUUGUUGGGAAAGAAAAGCAGCAGGUUAAUACCCCGCUGUUCUGACGGUACCCAAAGAAUAAGCACCGGCUAACUUCGUG